rnacentral:lncRNA from 1 species
AUUAAAUAAAAUAGGGAAGCCAUUUAUAUAGAUGAAAUAGAGCCCAUGCUUAAAUAAAUAAUAGUCCAUAUAAAUUUAAAAGAUGAGGCCCAACUCAAUAAAAUAGGAAUGGCCCAAACUGAAUAAAAUGAAUCGGGCCCAGCUAAAUAAAAUUAAAAAAAAUCGGCCCAAGCUUUUAAAAAAAAUCGCAGCCCAAAACUAUUUAAAAAUAGGCCCAAUACUCGGCCCAAGUCCCUCAAGCCCAAACCUCUAAGCCCAACCCAAGCCCAACAACCCCAAACUAAGCCCUAAGUCUUCCUCCCCCCUUCUUCUCCCCCAUCUGUCGCACAACACUCACACACACAUACAAUUUGCAGAUCUCACUCUCUCUCUCUCUCUCGGACUUCACGGCCGCGUGCCACCAUCCCGGCGACGAGCGCCGCUCUGUCAUCCUCACCAUCACCCUCGACCCCUCUAUUCUCCUCCCUCAAAUCUCUCUCGACUGUCUCCCUCAAACGUCCGUGGCCGAGCAGCAGCGACGCUACCGCCGUGCC